UUCCACCUUGCUUAUGGGAAGCCAUGCUGGCAGUGGGUUCAUGCUGAUUUCAUAGAAGAUAAAUCGUGUUUUAAUGAAUGAAUGUGCAUAGAAACCUCUGAAACAUCUGGGCCCAAACUGCACCAAAUGGUUCCUGGAGAUCUGUUUCCCUCUCUUUGAAGUCUAAGCUGCAUUCCUAAAAUCUACGUUUUCUGUUAUUAAAAUGCUAGGAAUUGAAGGAUUGGUGGGGAAAAACAAAUUAAUAUGAGGAGACACACUGUUGGUGCAUCUCUGCUUAAAUAUCAUAACACCACAGCAAAAUUUUGGAAAGCAUUCUGUAUCAAAACAUUGCAAGUGGUUAAGUUCUGCAUUCUUACUCACGCAACCAUUUUGCAGUUUGUAAAAAUUAAAAAAAAAUCUGUCACCUCAUAUUUAUGGUAAAGUAAAUAUUUUUCUAACAAGUUUACCUCCAGAAGUCACUGCAUAUCAACUUCAACUUUCACAAAGAAUGAAUAACCCCAUGGAAAUAUGCUUGUGUGUGUGACACUCCAACCACUGUCAUUCCUGGCCAAGCACUAAUUAGCAUUUUUGCUCUACAGGAUCAUAGCCCUGGCAAAGAACAAACUGCCAACACAUAGAGACAGUUCAACAGAAACUCUCAGAGGAGAAACAGUAUGUCCACUCACCAUCAUUGCAGUCUCAAUCGGGAAGGGGAGCCAGAAGAUGAGAAGUAGCAAAACACUCAGCACCACUCCCUCUUCUUUCCCACAAAGACCUACUAUGCAUCCAGAAUCAGAGAUUAUGUGAUCCAACCGUUGACUACUGCUUAUUCUUUCAGCCUACUCUUGAUCUCCACACAACUAAAGGAUCUGCCCUACAUCCUAUUCUGUGCAGUAGGACAAUAUGUGCUGUGAGGGGUGGCUGUUUGAGAAAGCCAAGAGACCAGAAACGAUUCGGACAUGCUCCCCAUUGAAGAAAGGAAGUUAUGAAGAGACUGUACUGUUGUUAUGAAUAGAUUUUCCUAUUGGUGUUGGACAUGCUGAUCCCAUAAAGGUGGUUGUUGAGAGACCUAAGUGUUCUAUUAAU